rnacentral:lncRNA from 1 species
UGUCAUCUAGAAUUUUAUUAGAAACUUGUUGUGGAACACAAGGUGAAAUACAAAGCCCAAAAGAGGGAAACUUAAGGCGGCGGACGACAUAAAUGUCCCCGGAGUCAAAGCCAGCGGAAAACGUAAUUUCUCCAGAAACUUAACCCUAAAAAGAAAAACGAAGGGAAAGAAAACAAACAGGAUAUACAAGAAGUAACCAAAACAAAGGAGACGAAACCUUAAUCUAAAAACAAAGGCAACCGGCUAUGAAAUCUUAAAGGAAAUGAUAGAAACGAGAAAUCAAAGAGACCUCCUCUUCAGAAGCACAAGAGAAUGAGAUUUAUCCAGACUGCCCACGGCCAACUCGAGGAUAACAUCUACCACCUCCUAACACAAUGAGAGCUGAUCUCUCAAAACCAAUAACCAGUGACUUCAAAACACAGCAAGCAAGACCACUCACUUCCGGAGGCGACGACGACGUUCAUACGCCAAAGAACAUCAAACUAGAAGUCUUCAAAACGUGAGGAACGAGGCCUAACUCCACAAAAACAUCAAUCACACAAACAAGAUCGACGAAUAAUCGAGACAGCUAACAUCCACAGAGGACAACCACAAGAAGAAGAAACUCGGAGAAGUCCAAAUACUACCAUUUCAAGCAAAUAGAGCGAAACCUCUGCUUAGAACAUAACCAAACCCAAAAGAUAUCACAGGCUGAGACGAGGAGAUAGAGGAGAUACGGCGUCUAAGAAACAAACACAACCACAUGGACGGCAAAAAAAUCAAACUGGAUCAAACAUAAACAGAAAGCUUAAAAUUUGAACCCACCCGGUCGAUCUAACUGAUCCGGAGUCUUCACAUUCUCUGUAAACUCUAAACCCAAGUGAUUUGUCCGCCCCAAAGAUACCACCAAACACACAACAUCAUCACUUGACUCAAAACCAAUGACAUCCCAGUCGAAGGCUACUGAAACUACACAAGAGACUACCAAAGACCAACAAGAAACUACCCUUGAAAAUAACCAAAAAAAGCAAAAUCAUCUAACACCCCCUCAAAUCGACGAAGAAUAAAGACCCAAAAGCUGGCUUACCAAACAACAGAAAUGGACUGAGACCAUGGCCAUGGAUUCCACAAAACACCAGAUCUCCACAGAGAUCCACGUUUCUUCACCAAAAUUUACAAGAACAGGAGCACCCGCCAGAUCAACAAAAUCUCGGACACCCAACACCAACUCUCUCUGGCGAAGCUGACCACUGACAGAACCAAUAACCUUCACCGAGGAGAUCGGCCAUUUCUGCCAAGGUAACCUUUUUCUCCAACGAAAUCAAGGGGAAGAUGAGUUGCAGAACCAGAAAAAAACUACAGCAUAAAAAAAAGGGGAAGCCACUCACAGCAUCGACGAGGAGCGUCGAUCACCCGAGUAACUUCCCAGCCACAGAUCUGAAAAAAGCUUAGGGUUUAACUGUUUGAGAGACGAGAGAGAGCGGCGGUGUUCUCCAUUUAUUCGACUAUGUACACACACACUCUAUCUUACUUUUUCUUUUUAUUCAUCCAAAUAACAGAAAUUAAUAUAAUAACAUAUGUUCAUCCAAAAAAUGAAUAUAAUAUAAUUUUAAUCUAUAAAUAUUUUUGUGAAUCUAAAAAGACCA